rnacentral:rRNA from 1 species
UACGUAGGGUGCGAGCGUUAAUCGGAAUUACUGGGCGUAAAGCGUGCGCAGGCGGUUCGUUAAGUUCGUUGUGAAAGCCCCGGGCUCAACCUGGGAACUGCAAUGGAAACUGGCGGGCUUGAAUGCGGCAGAGGGGGGUGGAAUUCCGCGUGUAGCAGUGAAAUGCGUAGAUAUCAGGAGGAAUACCGAUGGCGAAGGCAGGUCUCUGGGCUGACACUGACGCUCAUGCACGAAAGCGUGGGGAGCAAACAGG